rnacentral:rRNA from 1 species
GAUGAACGCUGGCGGCGUGCCUAAUACAUGCAAGUCGAGCGAACAGACGAGGAGCUUGCUCCUCUGACGUUAGCGGCGGACGGGUGAGUAACACGUGGAUAACCUACCUAUAAGACUGGGAUAACUUCGGGAAACCGGAGCUAAUACCGGAUAAUAUAUUGAACCGCAUGGUUCAAUAGUGAAAGACGGUUUUGCUGUCACUUCUAGAUGGAUCCGCGCCGCAUUAGCUAGUUGGUAAGGUAACGGCUUACCAAGGCGACGAUGCGUAGCCGACCUGAGAGGGUGAUCGGCCACACUGGAACUGAGACACGGUCCAGACUCCUACGAGAGGCAGCAGUAGGGAAUCUUCCGCAAUGGGCGAAAGCCUGACGGAGCAACGCCGCGUGAGUUAUGAAGGUCUUCGGAUCGUAAAACUCUGUUAUUAGUGAAGAACAAAUGUGUAAGUAACUAUGCACGUCUUGACGGUACCUAAUCAGAAAGCCACGGCUAACUACGUG